GGCCGCCUGGCGAAAUGGCAUCGCGUCUGACUACGACGAUUCAGGUUAAUCAGGAGAUUGCAGGUUCGACCCCUGCGGUGGUCA